CUACGGGACGCAGCAGUGGGGAAUAUUGGACAAUGGGCGAAAGCCUGAUCCAGCAAUGCCGCGUGUGUGAAGAAGGCCUGCGGGUUGUAAAGCACUUUCAAUUGGGAAGAAAAGCCUGGGGCUAAUAUCCUCGGGUCUUGACGUUACCUUUAGAAGAAGCACCGGCUAACUCCGUGCCAGCAGCCGCGGUAAUACGGAGGGUGCGAGCGUUAAUCGGAAUUACUGGGCGUAAAGCGCGCGUAGGCGGCUUGUUAAGUCAGAUGUGAAAGCCCUGGGCUCAACCUGGGAACUGCAUUUGAUACUGGCAGGCUAGAGUGUGGUAGAGGGAAGUGGAAUUCCAGGUGUAGCGGUGAAAUGCGUAGAUAUCUGGAGGAACAUCAGUGGCGAAGGCGACUUCCUGGACCAACACUGACGCUGAGGUGCGAAAGCGUGGGUAGCAAACAGGAUUAGAUACCCCGGUAGUC
rnacentral:rRNA from 1 species